ACACCAAUGUAGCUCAGACCUGUGACAAGCCAGGCUAGAAAAAUACAGAGUCGUGU
rnacentral:ribozyme from 2 species